rnacentral:rRNA from 1 species
AAUCAACGCUGGCGGCGUGCCUAACACAUGCAAGUCGAACGAGAAAGUGGAGCAAUCCAUGAGUAAAGUGGCGCACGGGUGAGUAACACGUGACUAACCUACCCUUGAGUGGGGGAUAACCUAGGGAAACCUGGGCUAAUACCGCAUAAUACCUACGGGUCAAAGGAGCAAUUCGCUUUAGGAGGGGGUCGCGGCAGAUUAGUUAGUUGGCGGGGUAAUGGCCCACCAAGACGAUGAUCNGUAUCCGGCCUGAGAGGGCGCACGGACACACUGGAACUGAAACACGGUCCAGACUCCUACGGGAGGCAGCAGUGGGGAAUUUUGCGCAAUGGGGGAACCCUGACGCAGCAACGCCGCGUGGAGGAUGAAGACCCUUGGGUCGUAAACUCCUUUCGAUC